GCUGCCAUGGUGCACUCCCAAUGCAGGAGCUGGAGCAUCACCAGCAUGUGUGAGUUGGUGUUUGGAGGCCCAGACUGCGAGAGGGAAGCAGGGGAUAGAAUACUUCCCUAAGCCAGGGAAAGUGAGCUGGGAGUUUGAUGAAAUUCACACUGAAUGGCACCUCAAAGGCCCCUGCUAGGAUGGUCUCUGUGCUCCAGCACUGUCCUGGCUGAGCCUGAAUGCCUGCAGACCCAGUGGAGGGCUGCACUAACCUGGGAAGCAACCAGCAGACCUUGCUGAUCCAUUACACAUCCCUGGACUGACCCAGACAAAGGCAGUGUGAGAAGACCAACCUAUGAAGGGCAACUUCUGCAUCACUUGUGGAGGGCCCCAGGCUUAUUCAGAGUCCAGAGACAGACUUAAAAAUUCAACAGAGAGAAGAAACGUCCAAAAUAUUUUUUUCUUUUGAAGAAAAUGGCAGCUGUGAAAUUGAGCCAAGAGGACCAUGACCUUUUCAUUUUUCAGAUGCUUGGCAGCUGUGUCACUCCAGGUCGUGUCCUGCAGGAGAGGAUUCACACCUCCUUUAGGCUGGGAAUCCAUAAAGCCAGCUUGGCAGUUCAUUUGUAUUAAGUCAACCAUGACUCCAAAGCUGAUCCCUUGGAAAGCCCAAGUACAUGCACAACACCAGGCUUCACAUCUGCAAGCAUGCCAAGCACAUCAACCUCCUCCAACACAAACGGUUCAAGACUACAGUCAUCAGGAUAAAAAAAAAUAAAUACCAGAACUUCUCAACCACCUGCCACUGGGUUGUUGUCACCAAAACUAAUGGAAAGGAGGAACUGGCCAUUUUUGAUGCUGUGAUGGUUGGUGUCAGUCACCAGAUACAUCCAUGUGUCCUGCUGGAGUCCAUCUGAGGGUCUGGUGAAGCUGCCAGAGGUGAGAGAAGGCCUGCCAGCUGAUGUGACCUAGUGCAGUUCUUCAAUGCCUGUGCUGGCUCCUUGGCAAGGCUGUCCCUGGAGAGAAGCUGCAGAGGUGAUUCCCUGGUGUCCUGGGAUGCCAUCCCCUGCAGUACCAGGAGCAGAGGACCUUUGCACGCUGAUGUCUGUGGCCAUUUCACACUCUCCCAAUUUGCAUAGGGAGCCUCCUGUACAUGUGGUUAAUGGCAAAAUGCAGCCUCCAAGUCCCAUGAGCAGUGACCAGAAAACC